rfam:Ipomoea nil DNA, scaffold: scaffold0465, cultivar: Tokyo-kokei standard.
GUGCAUUUAGUGUAGUGGUAUCAUAGUACCCUCCCACGGUACUGACCGGGGAUCAAUUCCCCGAAUGUGCA